rnacentral:rRNA from 1 species
AAUGCAAGUCGAGCGGACAGAUGGGAGCUUGCUCCCUGAUGUUAGCGGCGGACGGGUGAGUAACACGUGGGUAACCUGCCUGUAAGACUGGGAUAACUCCGGGAAACCGGGGCUAAUACCGGAUGGUUGUUUGAACCGCAUGGUUCAAACAUAAAAGGUGGCUUCGGCUACCACUUACAGAUGGACCCGCGGCGCAUUAGCUAGUUGGUGAGGUAACGGCUCACCAAGGCAACGAUGCGUAGCCGACCUGAGAGGGUGAUCGGCCACACUGGGACUGAGACACGGCCCAGACUCCUACGGGAGGCAGCAGUAGGGAAUCUUCCGCAAUGGACGAAAGUCUGACGGAGCAACGCCGCGUGAGUGAUGAAGGUUUUCGGAUCGUAAAGCUCUGUUGUUAGGGAAGAACAAGUACCGUUCGAAUAGGGCGGUACCUUGACGGUACCUAACCAGAAAGCCACGGCUAACUACGUGCCAGCAGCCGCGGUAAUACGUAGGUGGCAAGCGUUGUCCGGAAUUAUUGGGCGUAAAGGGCUCGCAGGCGGUUUCUUAAGUCUGAUGUGAAAGCCCCCGGCUCAACCGGGGAGGGUCAUUGGAAACUGGGGAACUUGAGUGCAGAAGAGGAGAGUGGAAUUCCACGUGUAGCGGUGAAAUGCGUAGAGAUGUGGAGGAACACCAGUGGCGAAGGCGAC